GCCCGGGAUAGCUUAGUCAAUAGAGCACGAGAUUCUUAAUCACAGGGUUGUGGGUUCGAGCCCAUGUUGGACA